CCUACGGGUGACAGCAGUGAGGAAUAUUGGUCAAUGGACGCAAGUCUGAACCAGCCAUGCCGCGUGCAGGAUGACGGCCCUAUGAGUUGUAAACUGCUUUUGUACGAGGGUAAAGGCAGUUACGUGUAUCGCUUUGCAAGUACCGUAUGAAUAAGGAUCGGCUAACUCCGUGCCAGCAGCCGCGGUAAUACGGAGGAUUCGAGCGUUAUCCGGAUUUAUUGGGUUUAAAGGGUGCGUAGGCGGUCGGAUAAGUUAGAGGUGAAAUCCCGAGGCUCAACUUCGGAAUUGCCUCUGAUACUGUUCGGCUAGAGAGUAGGUGCGGUAGGCGGAAUGUAUGGUGUAGCGGUGAAAUGCUUAGAGAUCAUACAGAACACCGAUUGCGAAGGCAGCUUACCAAGCUACUUCUGACGUUGAGGCACGAAAGCGUGGGUAGCAAACAGGAUUAGAUACCCGAGUAGUC
rnacentral:rRNA from 1 species